AAGGGUAAAUUGCACGUUUGGUCCUCAAACUAUGAGGCAUGUGACAUUUUAGUUCUCAAAUUUUAAUUUAUUAUAAUUUUUUGUUUGAAUUUUCAGAAUUAUUGCAAUCAAAUCCUACAACCCAAUUUAGUUAAAUAAAUAUUGAUGCAUCGAUGAUGUAAAAGCGAUAUGACAUCUUAAUUAUUGGCGUAUUACUAAUUACAACAUUGUUAUAUUAUUUUUACAUUAGCAAUAUAUGAAUAUUUAGCCAGCAAAAUCGGAUUAUACGCGUUGUUUGCAAUAGUUCUAAAAAUUUGAGUCAAAACUUAUACAACGUUAUAGUUUGAGAACCAAAGUAUCAUCCAACUCAUAGUUUGAGGACCAAUCUUGAUAUUUACCCUCUUAUCAAUCACAAAUAUGUUUUUUUUUU
rnacentral:lncRNA from 1 species